CAGCAGCCGCGGUAAUACGUAGGGUGCAAGCGUUAAUCGGAAUUACUGGGCGUAAAGCGUGCGCAGGCGGUUGUGUAAGACAGAUGUGAAAUCCCCGGGCUUAACCUGGGAACUGCAUUUGUGACUGGCGGGCUAGAGUAUGGCAGAGGGGGGUAGAAUUCCACGUGUAGCAGUGAAAUGCGUAGAGAUGUGGAGGAAUACCGAUGGCGAAGGCAGCCCCCUGGGCCAAUACUGACGCUCAUGCACGAAAGCGUGGGGAGCAAACAGGAUUAGAUACCCUGGUAGUCCACGCCCUAAACGAUGUCAACUAGUUGUCGGGUCCUCAUUGACUUGGUAACGUAGCUAACGCGUGAAGUCGACCGCCUGGGGAGUACGGUCGCAAGAUUAAAACUCAAAGGAAUUGACGG
rnacentral:rRNA from 1 species